CUUUUCACUGCAUCCAUGCCAACAUCUAUUAUUUUUUAUUUUUUUAUUAUGGCCAUUCUUGCAGGAGUAAAGGUGGUUAUCACACUGUAGUUUUGAUGUGCGUUUCUCUGAUCAUCAGUGAUGAUGAGCAUUUUUUCAUAUGUUUGUUGGCC